UUGGUUAAUUUGGAAAUUUUGUCUUCAUUGUGCAAAAUUCUCCAUCUCUUUUCUGUCCUGAUGAAUCUCUCCUCCUGCUCAUCACUGGCUGAUCCUCAGGAAACCGAUCCAUUUGUGAGAACAAGUCAUGCAUUUUGAUGCUCAGAGUUGCAACCAGAGUUCAGAAAGUUGACCUGAUUGAGCAAAACCAAUGUGAUUUUUUUGAUUCAGCACAUUAAAAUGACCCUAAAACAAUUGAAAAACCCCCAGCCAAUUACUUGGCUGUUGACCAGAGUGAUUUACGACAUUCGGUUCGUUUAGCCACUAGUUGUUUUACUGUAGUGUGCAUAAUGGAAGAUUUUUGAGGAGCACUAAUCAAAUGGCCAGAGAUCAAAAUUGGCCAAUUUCUCCUGGAUCACCUGUAAAUGCAUUAAAAUUAAAAACAUCUAAUAUAUUUUGAGCUGUAAACAUUGAUCAAAGCCAUCUCCUUUGAUUAAUUUCACUUUCAGUCAGUAAAAUUGGGACAUUUGAUUCGAUGUACAAACAUGAAAAAGCUUCUAAAUA